rnacentral:rRNA from 1 species
AACGCGAAGAACCUUACCAAGGCUUGACAUGUAGAGGAAAAGUGCAGAAAUGCACUCCCCGCAAGGUCUCUACACAGGUGGUGCAUGGUUGUCGUCAGCUCGUGUCGUGAGAUGUUGGGUUAAGUCCCGCAACGAGCGCAACCCUCGUCCUAUGUUGCCAGCACGUUAUGGUGGGAACUCAUGGGAUACUGCCGGGGUCAACUCGGAGGAAGGUGGGGAUGACGUCAAAUCAUCAUGCCCCUUAUGUCUUGGGCUUCACGCAUGCUACAAUGGCCAGUACAGAGGGCUGCAAUACCGUAAGGUGGAGCGAAUCCCAAAAAGCUGGUCUCAGUUCGGAUUGAGGUCUGCAACUCGACCUCAUGAAGUCGGAGUCGCUAGUAAUCGUAGAUCAGCAACGCUACGGUGAAUACGUUCCCGGGUCUUGUACACACCG